CCUACGGGUGGCUGCAGUGGGGAAUCUUGCACAAUGGGGGAAACCCUGAUGCAGCGACGCCGCGUGAGUGAUGAAGCCCUUCGGGGUGUAAAGCUCUUUCGACGGGGACGAUAAUGACGGUACCCGGCGAAGAAGCUGCGGCUAACUACGUGCCAGCAGCCGCGGUACUACGUAGGCAGCCAGCGUUGUUCGGAAUUACUGGGCGUAAAGAGUGCGUAGGUGGUUGGCUAAGUUUGGUGUGAAAUCUCCCGGCUCAACUGGGAGGGUGCGCCGAAAACUGGCCGGCUAGAGUGUGGGAGAGGGAAGUGGAAUUCCUGGUGUAGCGGUGAAAUGCGUAGAUAUCAGGAGGAACACCUGUGGUGUAGACGGCUUCCUGGACCAUUACUGACACUGAGGCACGAAAGCGUGGGGAGCAAACAGGAUUAGAUACCCCUGUAGUC
rnacentral:rRNA from 1 species